rnacentral:rRNA from 1 species
UACGGAGGGGGCUAGCGUUGUUCGGAAUUACUGGGCGUAAAGCGCACGUAGGCGGCUUUGUAAGUUAGAGGUGAAAGCCCGGGGCUCAACUCCGGAAUUGCCUUUAAAACUACAUCGCUAGAAUUGUGGAGAGGUGAGUGGAAUUCCGAGUGUAGAGGUGAAAUUCGUAGAUAUUCGGAAGAACACCAGUGGCGAAGGCGACUCACUGGACACAUAUUGACGCUGAGGUGCGAAAGCGUGGGGAGCAAACAGG